rnacentral:rRNA from 1 species
AAUGAACGCUGGCGGCAUGCCUAACACAUGCAAGUCGAACGAGACCUUCGGGUCUAGUGGCGCACGGGUGCGUAACGCGUGGGAAUCUGCCCCUUGGUUCGGAAUAACUCAGAGAAAUUUGAGCUAAUACCGGAUAAUGACGUAAGUCCAAAGAUUUAUCGCCUAGGGAUGAGCCCGCGUAGGAUUAGCUAGUUGGUGGGGUAAAAGCCUACCAAGGCGACGAUCCUUAGCGGUCUGAGAGGAUGAUCAGCCACACUGGGACUGAGACACGGCCCAGACUCCUACGGGAGGCAGCAGUGGGGAAUAUUGGACAAUGGGCGAAAGCCUGAUCCAGCAAUGCCGCGUGAGUGAUGAAGGCC